CACGUAGGGGGCAAGCGUUGUCCGGAUUUAUUGGGCGUAAAGAGCUCGUAGGUGGUUCGGUAAGUCAGGUGUGAAACCUCCAGGCCUCAACCUGGAGACGCCACUUGAUACUGCUGUGACUGGAGUCCGGUAGGGGAGCGUGGAAUUCCUGGUGUAGCGGUGAAAUGCGCAGAUAUCGGGAGGAACACCAGCGGCGAAGGCGGCGCUCUGGGCCGGUACUGACACUGAGGAGCGAAAGCGUGGGUAGCAAACAGG
rnacentral:rRNA from 1 species